GCAGUAGCCGCGGUAAUACGAAGGGUGCAAGCGUUACUCGGAAUUACUGGGCGUAAAGCGUGCGUAGGUGGUGGUUUAAGUCCGUUGUGAAAGCCCUGGGCUCAACCUGGGAAUUGCAGUGGAUACUGGGUCACUAGAGUGUGGUAGAGGAUAGUGGAAUUUCCGGUGUAGCAGUGAAAUGCGUAGAGAUCGGAAGGAACAUCUGUGGCGAAGGCGACUAUCUGGGCCAACACUGACACUGAGGCACGAAAGCGUGGGGAGCAAACAGGAUUAGAUACCCCAGUAGUCCCUGUCUCUUAUAC
rnacentral:rRNA from 1 species